rnacentral:rRNA from 1 species
UCCUACUCCUUGCCGCAAGCCGCGGUCAAGCGGUAUGGUCAAUCGUGUCCCGGAUUUAUUGGGUGUAAGGGGUGCGUGGGUGUUUUGUCGCGUCGGUGGUGAAUACUCGGGGCUCAACCCCGAGCUUGUAGUCGGUACGGGCAAACUUGAGGGCGGUAGGGGCGACUGGAAUUCCUGGUGUAGCGGUGAAAUGCGCAGAUAUCAGGAGGAACACCGGCGGCGAAGGCGGGUCUCUGGGCCGUAACUGACGCUGAGGAGCGAAAGCGUGGGGAGCGAACAGGAUUAGAUACCCUAGUAGUC